rnacentral:rRNA from 1 species
CCUACGGGAGGCAGCAGUGAGGAAUAUUGGUCAAUGGCCGGAAGGCUGAACCAGCCAAGCCGCGUGAAGGACGAAGGUGCCAAGCAUUGUAAACUUCUUUUGUCAAGGGACAAAAUCAGGCUCGAGAGCCUGACCGAGGGUACUUGAAGAAAAAGCAUCGGCUAACUCCGGGCCAGCAGCCGCGGUAAUACGGAGGAUGCGAGCGUUAUCCGGAUUUAUUGGUUUUAAAGGGUUCGUAGGCGGGCUGUUAAGUCAGCGGUAAAAGCCCGGGGCUCAACCCCGGCGAGCCGUUGAACCUGGCUGUCUUGAGAUGUCGAGAGGUAGGCGGAAUGCGCAGUGUAGCGGUGAAAUGCUUAGAUAUUGCGCAGAACUCCGAUUGCGAAGGCAGCAUACCGGCGGCGAUCUGACGCUGAGGCACGAAAGCGUGGGUAUCGAACAGGAUUAGAUACCCCUGUAGUC